CCUACGGGAGGCAGCAGUGAGGAAUAUUGGUCAAUGGGCGAGAGCCUGAACCAGCCAAGUCGCGUGAAGGAUGAAGGCUCUAUGGGUUGUAAACUUCUUUUAUAUGGGAAUAAAGUGAGGUACGUAUUCCUUUUUGUAUGUACCAUAUGAAUAAGCAUCGGCUAACUCCGUGCCAGCAGCCGCGGUAAUACGGAGGGUCCGAGCGUUAUCCGGAUUUAUUGGGUUUAAAGGGUGCGUAGGUGGGUAGUUAAGUCAGCGGUGAAAGUUUGUGGCUCAACCGUAAAAUUGCAGUUGAGACUGGUAGCCUUGAGUAUAUUAGAGGUAGGCGGAAUGCGUGGUGUAGCGGUGAAAUGCAUAGAUAUCACGAAGAACUCCGAUUGCGAAGGCAGCUUACUAGACUAUAACUGACGCUGAGGCUCGAAAGCGUGGGGAUCAAACAGGAUUAGAUACCCGAGUAGUC
rnacentral:rRNA from 1 species